CCUACGGGUGGCAGCAGUGAGGAAUAUUGGUCAAUGGGCGCGAGCCUGAACCAGCCAAGUAGCGUGAAGGAUGACUGCCCUACGGGUUGUAAACUUCUUUUAUAAAGGAAUAAAGUGAUGCACGUGUGCCUUUUUGUAUGUACUUUAUGAAUAAGGAUCGGCUAACUCCGUUCCAGCAGCCGCGGUAAUACGGAGGAUCCGAGCGUUAUCCGGAUUUAUUGGGUUUAAAGGGAGCGUAGGUGGGUUGUUAAGUCAGUUGUGAAAGCUUGCGGCUCAACCGGAAAAGUGCAAUUGAUACUGGCAGACUUGAGUACAGUAGAGGUGAGCGGAAUUCGUGGUGUAGCGGUGAAAUGCUUAGAUAUCACGAAGAACUCCGAUUGCGAAGGCAGCCCACUAGACUGCAACUGACACUGAUGCUCGAAAGUGUGGGUAUCAAACAGGAUUAGAUACCCUAGUAGUC
rnacentral:rRNA from 1 species